rnacentral:rRNA from 2 species
CGUGCAAGUCGAGCGAACUGAUUAGAAGCUUGCUUCUAUGACGUUAGCGGCGGACGGGUGAGUAACACGUGGGCAACCUGCCUGUAAGACUGGGAUAACUCCGGGAAACCGGAGCUAAUACCGGAUAACAUUUUCUCUUGCAUAAGAGAAAAUUGAAAGAUGGUUUCGGCUAUCACUUACAGAUGGGCCCGCGGUGCAUUAGCUAGUUGGUGAGGUAACGGCUCACCAAGGCAACGAUGCAGAGCCCACCUGAGAGGGUGAUCGGCCACACUGGGACUGAGACACGGCCCAUACUCCUACGGGAGGCAGCAGUAGGGAAUCUUCCGCAAUGGACGAAAGUCUGACGGAGCAACGGCUCGUGAGUGAUGAAGGCUUUCGGGUCGUAAAACUCUGUUGUUAGGGAAGAACAAGUACAAGAGUAACUGCUUGUACCUUGACGGUACCUAACCAGAAAGCCACGGCUAACUACGUGCCAGCAGCCGCGGUAAUACGUAUGUGGCAAGCGUUAUCCAGAAUUAUUGGGCGUAAAGCGCGCGCAGGCCGUUUCUUAAGUCUGAUGUGAAAGCCCACGGCUCAACCGUGGAGGGUCAUUGGAAACUGGGGAACUUGAGUGCAGAAAAGAAAAGCAGAAUUCCUCGUGUAGCGGUGAAAUGCGUAGAGAUGUGGAGGAACAC